UACGUAGGGGGCAAGCGUUGUCCGGAUUUAUUGGGCGUAAAGAGCGUGUAGGCGGUUAGGUAGGUCCGUUGUGAAAACUCGAGGCUCAACCUCGAGACGCCGAUGGAAACCAUCUGACUAGAGUCCGGAAGAGGAGAGUGGAAUUCCUGGUGUAGCGGUGAAAUGCGCAGAUAUCAGGAAGAACACCCGUGGCUAAGGCGGCUCUCUGGACCGAGACUGACGCUGAGGCGCGAAAGCGUGGGGAGCAAACAGG
rnacentral:rRNA from 1 species